rnacentral:rRNA from 1 species
AUGGAGGCUGGUGGUGCUGCGGCCGGUGGAGCAGCAGCUGGUGGUGAAGUUCGUGCCAGGGCGUUCAUCGGCUUGACGUUGGCGGCUUACACCCUCUACGUCGCCACUGAGGCGUACGCGGUGAUCACGCGCAACCACGGCCUGCUUCAGCUUCUCUCCGCCGGCGGCCUGGCAGCGGCCGUCGCAGUGAACGCCGUCGCGCGGGACGACUCAUUACUCGCCUGGACCUUGAACAUCUUCGCGCUCGCCAUCAGAGCCUUCACCGUCGUGGCACUCAUCAUCGUGGUGGUAGCCCCGUGA